CACCCGAUUCGAACGUUAUCACUCGAUUGAAUGGGGCGUUAUCAGCAGUUAUCAGCCCAUAGAAAUGGGCCAGGAGGGGCCUCCUGCGCCUACUAGUAGGCUCAGAAGGCCGUGAUCAUCCAUCCAAAUGGUUGAUCACCCACAAAUAUACAAGAGAAGACUCCAGAUCCAAUCCCAGAAUUCCUGCUCACCGGUAAUCGGAAGUCUACUGGACGAAAGCGGGAACGUUGCGAUAUUUCCUGCUUAAUAUUUUCAGGCACAAUGAAUGAUAUUAAGGGCAGGUGCGCCACAUUGGGGGAAGAUGCAAAGCAAAAAUACAUUCAAGCGGCAGCAGCACUGAGGGCACAUGGGUGGGCGCAGGACCUAAACCCUGAGAUGGAGGCAAUUUGUGCUGUGUCUGCCGCAUCCAUUUUUAUGAUAAGAAGAAGAAUGCAAGAAAGAAGUGGCAUUCAUGGUCUCAGUGCACAGUGUGCCAAUCAUGGUCACACACAGCAUGUGGCUUUAAAAAGAACAUGUGCCUUCACUGCCAGUGUCAAGACACCAUGCUAACACCCUGAAGAUGUAUCUUGUUACUUGUUUGAGUUGUUUUUACUGUGUUGACGGCCCCCAACCCAUCCAUACAAACACACACACACAAUACAUACAUAUGCUGCAAAUUUAUUGUAAUGACCACACUUCACACGUAAGAAGAAAAUUGUGAUCUUUUUGUUAUUUUCAUUCACCCCAUUUUUAUUUAUUAUUGUUGUUUGUUGGCACCAUCAAUGUGUUCUCCUUUAUACAUGACUUAUGUGGGGAACAAUA